UCCCGCGUGGCUCAGUUCGUAGAGCAUGGUGUUUGCAACGCCAGGGUUGUGGGUUUGAUUCCCACGGGGGAC
rnacentral:tRNA from 1 species